rnacentral:rRNA from 1 species
CCUACGGGAGGCAGCAGUGGGGAAUUUUGGACAAUGGGCGAAAGCCUGAUCCAGCAAUGCCGCGUGAGUGAAGAAGGCCUUCGGGUUGUAAAGCUCUUUUGUCAGGGAAGAAACGGUGAGAGCUAAUAUCUCUUGCUAAUGACGGUACCUGAAGAAUAAGCACCGGCUAACUACGUGCCAGCAGCCGCGGUAAUACGUAGGGUGCAAGCGUUAAUCGGAAUUACUGGGCGUAAAGCGUGCGCAGGCGGUUUUGUAAGUCUGAUGUGAAAUCCCCGGGCUCAACCUGGGAAUUGCAUUGGAGACUGCAAGGCUAGAAUCUGGCAGAGGGGGGUAGAAUUCCACGUGUAGCAGUGAAAUGCGUAGAUAUGUGGAGGAACACCGAUGGCGAAGGCAGCCCCCUGGGUCAAGAUUGACGCUCAUGCACGAAAGCGUGGGGAGCAAACAGGAUUAGAUACCCUGGUAGUCCACGCCCUAAACGAUGUCUACUAGUUGUCGGGUCUUAAUUGACUUGGUAACGCAGCUAACGCGUGAAGUAGACCGCCUGGGGAAGUACGGUUGCAAGAUUAAAACUCAAAGAUUGACGGCGNGAGAGNGCGACGACGACGACGAGGAGGAGG